rnacentral:rRNA from 1 species
UACAGAGGUCUCAAGCGUUGUUCGGAUUCAUUGGGCGUAAAGGGCUCGUAGGCGGUUUGUCGCGUCGGGAGUGAAAACCUCGGGCUUAACUCGGGGCUUGCUUUCGAUACGGGCAGACUGGAGGUAUGCAGGGGAGAACGGAAUUCCUGGUGUAGCGGUGAAAUGCGCAGAUAUCAGGAGGAACACCGGUGGCGAAGGCGGUUCUCUGGGCAUUACCUGACGCUGAGGAGCGAAAGCGUGGGGAGCGAACAGG